CCAAUAGCGUAUAUUAAAGUUGUUGCAGUUAAAAAGCUCGUAGUUGAAUUUCGGGGUUAGUAGGUUGGUCAUGCCUCUGGUAUGUACUGGUCUCACUGAUUCCUCCUUCCUGAUGAGCCGUAAUGCCAUUAAUUUGGUGUUGCGGGGAAUUUGGACUGUUACUUUGAAAAAAUUAGAGUGUUUAAAGCAGGCUAACGCUUGAAUACAUUAGCAUGGAAUAAUGAAAUAGGACGUUCGAUCCUGUUUUGUUGGUUUCUAGGAUUGACGUAAUGAUUAAUAGGGAUAGUUGGGGGCAUUAGUAUUCAAUUGUCAGAGGUGAAAUUCUUGGAUUUAUUUAAGACUAAAUACUGCGAAAGCAUUUGCCAAGGAUGUUUUCAUUAAUCAAGAACGAAAGUUAGGGGAUCGAAGACGAUCAGAUACCGUCGUAGUCUUAACCAUAAACUAUGCCGAAUAGGGAUCGGAUGAUGUUAAUUUUUUAAUGACUCAUUCGGCGCCUUACG
rnacentral:rRNA from 1 species